AUACGUAGAGAGCAAGCGUUGUCCGGAAUUACUGGGCGUAAAGGGUACGCAGGCGGGUUAUUAAGUCAAAUGUGAAAAACACCGGCUUAACCGGUGAGGUGCAUUUGAAACUGGUAACCUUGAGUGCAGGAGAGGAGAGUGGAAUUCCUGGUGUAGCGGUGGAAUGCGUAGAUAUCAGGAAGAACACCAGUGGCGAAGGCGGCUCUCUGGUCUGCAACUGACGCUGAGGUACGAAAGCUGGGGGAGCGAACGGGAUUAGAUACCCCGGUAGUCCCAGCUGUAAACGAUGGACACUAGGUGUUGGGGGUUCGAAUCCUUCAGUGCCGGAGUUAACGCGAUAAGUGUCCCGCCUGGGGAUUACGGUCGCAAGACUGAA
rnacentral:rRNA from 1 species